rnacentral:rRNA from 1 species
GACGAACGCUGGCGGCGUGCUUAACACAUGCAAGUCGAAUGGAAAGGCCCUGCUUUUGUGGGGUGCUCGAGUGGCGAACGGGUGAGUAACACGUGAGUAACCUGCCCUUGACUUUGGGAUAACUUCAGGAAACUGGGGCUAAUACCGGAUAGGAGCUCCUGCUGCAUGGUGGGGGUUGGAAAGUUUCGGCGGUUGGGGAUGGACUCGCGGCUUAUCAGCUUGUUGGUGGGGUAGUGGCUUACCAAGGCUUUGACGGGUAGCCGGCCUGAGAGGGUGACCGGCCACAUUGGGACUGAGAUACGGCCCAGACUCCUACGGGAGGCAGCAGUGGGGAAUAUUGCACCAUGGGCGGAAGCCUGAUGCAGCAACGCCGCGUGCGGGAUGACGGCCUUCGGGUUGUAAACCGCUUUCGCCUGUGACGAAGCGUGAGUGACGGUAAUGGGUAAAGAAGCACCGGCUAACUACGUG